UGUAAAAUAUAUCCCCCUCUUGGAGGCUACAAAGUUCAAAGAGGUCUCCACAGAAAGAGAAAAAUAGCACCCAAAGGAUCAAUGAACAAAAAUUGCAGUUUUCCAGCACCAAUUUGGGGUACAUAAACCGCUCCCAGAACCAUCAUGAUAAAUACCCCACAUCUACUAUAGAAAUAUCCCAUCAUUCUCCAGCUAAGCGGGGGGAGGAAGGGGAGCAGUAUCAACCCUGAAGUAUGUAAGUAAAGGUAUACCACCACCAGAAAGUGCUGAAGAGUUUUCUAGAAACAGAAUCUUUUCCCCAUAUAACAAGAACUUCUAAAAGGUAAGUGCUCAGAGGAGCAUAGGAACCCAUUAACCAGAGAACAUGACGGAUACUGACCCACCCACUCAAUUUAGGAACCAUCGAUCAGUGAGUUCACCACAAAGAUCAGUUCAGCCAGUCUGCAAUCAUGCUGUUCCUUACCAAGAAAGUAACUCAGGAUACGUAGGCCCAUCAAUAGCCAUUAGCCAAGAUGAUCAGGGCUGCAACCACAUACUCUGGGUGCCCUAAGCUUCUAACCGCCAGAAGCUGGGAGUGAAUGACAUGGGAUGGAUCACUCAAUAACUGCCCUGGUCUGUUCAUUUCCUCUGAAGCAUCUGGUAUUGGCCACUGUCAGAAGACAGGAAACUGAGCUAGAUGGGCCAUUGGUCUGACCUAGUAUGGCCAUUCUUAUGUUCUUAGUUUGUGGGACACUAAAAAUUCCCACACCAAAAGAGCAGUAGGAUAUGGGAGAUGUGAUCCUAUCCUUCUUUGCUCAUUCACAGAUGAGAUGGUGGCCUGAUUUUAGAAUUGAAACCACCUUUUAAACACCAGGACUCAAAAGCACUAGAUUUUUCUUGAUCAUCUACCCUUCCACAACUGUGUAUGGUUAUUGCUCAUGGGGUGGGGGAGCUUGUUGAGGCUCAGAUUCUGCGGGUGUGCCUGAAAUGCGCCAAGUGUCAGUUAGAGCAGCCACUUGGAGCUCUGCUCUGCCACACUGCCUCCUAAGCCAAUGUGGGGGUAGCUAGUGCAGCUCUGACAGCUACAUACCAAUGAAGAGUUGCCCAACACCAGGGAAAUUCCCUGAUGACCAUUUACGGCCAGAUCCCACCCUGCUUGUGCCAUCUGAACAGAUACAGUUGGUACUGUAAUAAAGAAUUGGGAACUGUUGCUAAACAUAAAUAAAACACAUACAAUAAUAAAUCUUCCAUGGAAGCAAAGUUAGGCCAAUGUUGAGAGCCUAUGAAAAUCCCACCUUGAGCUCUCUGCAGUUAUAAAUACUUCUGCUGAACGUUAGUAUUUGGAGGUCAGACUAGAUGAUCAUAAUGGUCCCUUCUUGCCUUAAGAGCUAUUUCUAAUUGCCAUAUUAGAUUCAUUGUUGACAACUAAAAUACCCAUACAGGAGGGGCCUGAUUCUGCAACGUGCUGCACAUGGUGAAUUCACAUAGAGCCCCACUGAAGUUAACCAUACUUCAGGGUCAGAGCCUUACAUGAGAGUUACACAUGUAUGAGGACAGAACUAGGCCUUUAGAUUUUCCAUAAUUGUUAGUUUCUGACAACGUAGAACCUUGCACGAAAUAGCUCAGAACGCCCUCAGUGUAAGAUUCUGGGUUUUGUUCUACAAAGGGCUAUAGCGUCCAAACAUUUACUCUAUUUUCAAACAUGCAUCUUUCUUUGACUGUUCAGGAAUCUGAACAUCUCAGAGGGCAGAACACAAUCUUACCG